AGAGUUUGAUCAUGGCUCAGAUUGAACGCUGGCGGCAGGCCUAACACAUGCAAGUCGAGCGGCAGCGCGGGGCAACCUGGCGGCGAGCGGCGGACGGGUGAGUAACGCGUAGGAAUCUACCCAGUAGCGGGGGAUAGCCCGGGGAAACUCGGAUUAAUACCGCAUACGCCCCAAGGGGGAAAGCAGGGGAUCGCAAGACCUUGCACUAUUGGAAGAGCCUGCGUUGGAUUAGCUAGUUGGUAGGGUAAAGGCCUACCAAGGCGACGAUCCAUAACUGGUCUGAGAGGAUGAUCAGUCACACCGGAACUGAGACACGGUCCGGACUCCUACGGGAGGCAGCAGUGGGGAAUAUUGGACAAUGGGGGCAACCCUGAUCCAGCCGUGCCGCGUGUGCGAAGAAGGCCUUCGGGUUGUAAAGCACUUUAAGUGGGGAGAAAGGUUCGCUGUUUAAUACGCAGCGGAAUUGAUGCUACCCACAGAAUAGACCGCAUUCCC
rnacentral:rRNA from 1 species